rnacentral:tRNA from 1 species
AAUAAAGUGCCUGAUUAAAGGAUUAUUCUGAUAGGAUAAAUUAAGUAGAAUUCCUACCUUUAUUA